ensembl:lncRNA
AAGAGGUUUGAUUUAAACGGACACAAGUGUGGAAAUGUGUUAGCGCCAGCAUCUCCAGAACAGGGCAGCUUGCAACAGGACAUUCUAGCUCACGGUGUGUCAGCAAUAAGUUGAAAUCACGUCUGCUUAAUAUUAAUUUUAUGUCUUUUUAAGGUUAUCGGGGGGGCUCGCCGCAACAGUCCCAGUUUCUAUUUUAGCCCAUUGGGAAAAUUAAUUACUCACCGCUGUUCUAGGUGGAUGAGCAGCAUUAAAGCCAGAGGUUUUUGCAAAGUCCAGAUUGAGUCGCUCUACGCCUACAUCUACGACCAUGAACAGUAGGAUUCCCCAUUCCAGUCCAGCUCUGAAGAACCUAAACCUAAGCCCGACUUAUUCCAGUACGACCUAAAGAGCCCUUUUCCCUUCGCCUGACCCCAGAAACAAGUCUCAAAUGCAUCCGUUCAUCAAUAACUCCACUGGAUGGACUCCUCGGCCGUAUUUUAGAGCCCACGUGAUUGUUAUUGAGGAAAUGAAAAUAAAUAAAUAAAUAAAUGAAAUCAAAUGAACUUUCGAAUACUAAAAUAAUAACUUAUCUAAAUCGUGGCAAAUUCAGUGUUCGGUGAUAAGUGUGUUUUCUACUAAAAAGCUUUGAAUGAGUAUGUAUUUUUUGUGACAAUCACGUCAAAUCUGAACAAAACUCGAUUUGUUCCGGGCAGAUUGGAAGUGAAUGUUUUUGUACGUUUGCCAUCUCUCUUUCUUGAAUUUGUACGAUACACUCCUGACGCAGCACACGCACAGCUCGUCCUUACGGUUUAGUUUGUGUCCGUUGGAACGGGCAGAGUCCAGUUUUUGUUGUCAUUUUGAGAAAACAUCUGCGCCAGCUGCAUUGUGCUGAGUCCCGUUCAGUAUUGACCAAAGAGGAGGCAGUCGUUCUGAAAGGCGUUUUAGGUUUUUGGCUUUGAGGUGAAAAGAGCGCACGACGGGACUGUGGGCGAGAAAUGACGCGAGACCUCUUUCCGUUGUACACUUAUUACUGUUUUAACUCUCAUCAUCGUUAUAGGUGCUUACUGAUGUUGUGAGACGCUGCUUAUUCAAAGCUUUGUUACGAUCACGGCUUCAGUUCGUGUAUUUUCUUUUUAAAAAUAAUUCUAAUGUGUCAGUGUUACCACACAAUACGCUGCCUCCUCUGAAACACACGCACAGAAUUGGGUAGAAAGCAAAUUAGCUGAAUUUUAGACUCACUGUCUUUUCAUUGUAUCACGCGAGCGGUAAUAUUUUGUAUUUUUUAAUCCCCAGUGAAUAAUGCGUCCCGCUGAAAUCAUGAAAUUCCCUAUAAAACAUCAGCAGGCUGUUUGCUGAGAUGAAUUUGAUUGUAUUGCUUAUUAAAAUGAGUCAGUAUGUCACAAAA